AUGACUGUGAAAACUGUUGAGGGGUCAUCUCCAACACACGAUGCAGAAGGUGGUGCACUUGUCGUGUUCCAAGCAGAUCGGGUUUUGAAGCUUGAGCUCAUGCCAAAUGACGUGAAUCUGAAUGGCGGGAGCAGCUACCUAAGCUGGUCGAGGUGGGCCCUGUUGAUCUUGAAGCCAAAGGAUCUGAUGGGAUAUGUUCUUGGGACGGUUGAAGAACAUGAUAACAAGGAAAGCUCAGAAUGGAAGAAGUGGAGUGUUAUUGACUCACUGAUACUAGCAUGCAUGUUGAACUCCUUGAUUGUAAUGCUCCCAAGGCGGAGGUAG
rnacentral:rRNA from 1 species